rnacentral:misc_RNA from 1 species
CCUAUUAUUGAAUCAAUUUAGAACAGAUUAAAUAAAGUUAUGCUACUUUUACAAUAACCGACGUUAUAUGCAAGUGUAGAUAUGUUUGAAAGGCAAAAUUCUCAUCAAUUCUCCAUUAGUUUCAACUUAAUAGUUUGGAGAUCUAUUGAUUUGUGCCGGAGUGAUGAGGAUUGUUAGAAAAGCGUACAAUGACAAAUUACGGAUAACUUAAAAGAGAAAGCUUAUAGUAAAUGUAGAUUCGCAACAGCAAGAUCUUUUAAAUAUUCAUACAUGCAUACGUAUGUAUAGCAGUGAAUAAUUAAAUAACUUCGGAAGAGCUCAUGCUUGUGAUCCGAUAAACCCUUUAAGUAAAAUGGACAAAAAAACGGGCUUGAACUUUGUGGAAACAGAACUACGCAAACGUGCUCAAGGCAUCUUAAAGCAAACUACAUGUGUGGCCCAUAAAACAAAUGGCCAUAUGCCAAACACGACACAAUUAACUAAAUACACCUCUGACCAUGAAACCUCUUAUAAAUACUCCAGCACAUAUCUGAUAAUGUCACCAACCACUAUGGCAGCUGCAAAACCGGCAAAUAAAGCCUACACUGUAUUAACGUACUCAAAUCGAGGUGCUUCAAUGAAUCGCCGAUUCAGUGAAAGUUCUGCGGAUGAAUUAUACAGAAGUACCGAGUCAUUCAAACGCUCUAGUUGGAAUCAAAAUAUGCACAAGGAAUUAUUGAAUAACGACAGGCAGAAGAGGAAAACCGGUUGUUGUUUCCGCUUCUGCAGAUAUGAUGAUGAUGACGAAGAUAUAGGUGGCUGUUGUUGUUUUGUCGGUGGCAGCAGAAAAAACCGCAUUAGUGACGCAAUCGAUGUCGGGAUUCGAGUAAUGCUAGUAUUCAUUUUUAUAUCUCUGGAGAAUACCAAACCCUUCAAGCGUAAAGUGCACCCGGAAGAGAUGUGGCUGUAUAAAAAUCCGCGAUCUCCUGAUAUCGUUUCAGUGCAGGCACUUUUGUUAUCAGCAAUUUUUGUUCCACUUUCUGUAACAAUAGCGCAUUUGUGGUUGACGGGCGAUCGGCGUGAUUUUCGUGCAGCCAGCUGGGUGUGGACAUUAGCGCUUGGGUUGAAUGGCCUCGUAACGAGUCUACUAAAAAUAACUGUAGGCCGUCACAGACCGGAUUUCUUUUAUCGAUGCUUUCCUGAUGGCAUCGAAGUCUUAAACAACGGCACUAAUGCAGAUGGUUCAAUGGACUGGUACAAUUGUACCGGUGAUAUAAGACAAAUAAGUGAGGGACGCAAAAGUUUUCCCAGUGGACAUGCUUCAUUUUCCUUUGUUGGUUUUGGUUUCAUCGCCAUUUAUGUGGGUGCCAAACUGCAUGCGCUAAACGCACGCGGGCGUGGCCAAUCGUGGCGUCUAUGUGUUACGCUUCUGCCAAUAAUUCUGGCGGCACUAAUUGCAGUUAGUCGUACAUGCGAUUAUCAUCACCACUGGGAAGAUGUGUUUGUCGGCAGUUUGAUUGGUCUGUCUAUUACAUAUAUAGUUUAUAGACAAUACUAUCCAUCAGUAUUCUCGAGCAGUUGCCAUCGACCAUAUUUUCGUAUUUGUGGACGAUCAAGCGAAUCAAGUAAUCAGCUAAAUUCGCAACCAAAGUUGUACGAACCCGUAUCGACUAAAGACGGAAUUGACGAUGAAAGUAUUUCUUAUGAAGAUCAAGGUGAUGCAUCUAGGGAUGAACGGCGUCGACUUAUUUGAAGAUCUAAGUUUAGUUAUAAUUGGGGAUUUUCGGAAAUAUUCAUAUAUUUAGAAAAUACCAUAGAAUCGCAGUUUACUUAUUCAAUGCACAUUGGAUUCGGAGAAAUUAUGUAACACUAGAUGAACAGAUACAUACAUAUAUAGAUAAAUAUAGAUUUUAUAAGAGACCGAA